GCCCGCUCAGAAACUUAAAUAGAAGUGACGGGGGGCCCGCACAAGCGGUGGAGCAUGUGGUUUAAUUCGAUGAUACGCGAGGAACCUUACCUGGGCUCAAAUGUAUGUUGACGUAUUCUGAAAGGGAUACUUCUUCGGACAAUAUACAAGGUGCUGCAUGGUUGUCGUCAGCUCGUGCCGUGAGGUGUCGGGUUAAGUCCCAUAACGAGCGCAACCCCUAUCAUUAGUUGCCAUCAGGUCAAGCUGGGGACUCUAAUGAAACUGCCUACGCAAGUAGUGAGGAAGGCGGGGAUGACGUCAAAUCAGCACGGCCCUUACGUCCAGGGCUACACACGUGCUACAAUGGCCGAUACAGAGGGCAGCUACCUGGUGACAGGAUGCAAAUCUCCAAAGUCGGUCUCAGUUCGGAUCGGAGUCUGCAACCCGACUCCGUGAAGUUGGAUUCGCUAGUAAUCGCGCAUCAGCCAUGGCGCGGUGAAUACGUUCCCGGGCCUU
rnacentral:rRNA from 1 species